rnacentral:rRNA from 1 species
UACGGAGGAUGCGAGCGUUAUCCGGAUUUAUUGGGUUUAAAGGGUGCGUAGGCGGCUUUUUAAGUCAGCGGUGAAAUUUUGCAGCUUGACUGUAACAGUGCCGUUGAUACUGGGGAGCUAGGAUUUGGUUGCUGUGGGUGGAAUGUGUGGUGUAGCGGUGAAAUGCUUAGAGAUUGCACAGAAGGCCGAUUGCGGAGGCAGCUUACUGAGCCAUAACUGACGCUGAGGCACGAAAGCGUGGGGAUCGAACAGGAUUA